rnacentral:rRNA from 1 species
GUCCUGGCAGUAAACGGUGCACGUUUGGUGUGGGAGGAUUCGACCCCUUCCGUGCCGGAGCUAACGCGUUAAACGUGCCGCCUGGGAAGUACGGUCGCAAGAUUAAAACUCAAAGAAAUUGACGGGGCCCGCACAAGCGGUGGAGUAUGUGGCUUAAUUCGAUGCAACGCGAAGAACCUUACCAGGGUUUGACAUGCAUCUCUAAGGCGGUGAAAGCCGCCGAGUGUAGCAAUACACAAUUUGCACAGGUGCUGCAUGGCUGUCGU